rnacentral:rRNA from 1 species
UACGUAGGGUGCAAGCGUUGUCCGGAAUUAUUGGGCGUAAAGAGCUCGUAGGCGGUCUGUCGCGUCUGCUGUGAAAACUCAGGGCUUAACCCUGAGCUUGCAGUGGGUACGGGCAGACUAGAGUGCGGUAGGGGAGACUGGAAUUCCUGGUGUAGCGGUGGAAUGCGCAGAUAUCAGGAGGAACACCGGUGGCGAAGGCGGGUCUCUGGGCCGUUACUGACGCUGAGGAGCGAAAGCGUGGGGAGCGAACAGG